GACGUAGGGCGCGAGCGUUGUCCGGAUUUAUUGGGCGUAAAGAGCUCGUAGGCGGCUUGUCGCGUCGACCGUGAAAACUUGGGGCUCAACCCCAAGCCUGCGGUCGAUACGGGCAGGCUCGAGUUCGGUAGGGGAGACUGGAAUUCCUGGUGUAGCGGCGAAAUGCGCAGAUAUCAGGAGGAACACCGAUGGCGAAGGCAGGUCUCUGGGCCGAUACUGACGCUGAGGAGCGAAAGCGUGGGGAGCGAACAGG
rnacentral:rRNA from 1 species